AUGGGAACGUCUCCCCGGCACGACCGGAUCGACGUCCGCCUAGGCUGCCAGCCGCGGACGUCUCCGGCGAGAGCUGGGGAGCGUUCCCUUAUUUUUUUUAAAGAA
rnacentral:rRNA from 1 species